rnacentral:snRNA from 1 species
UACUAUCUGUUCUUAUCAGUUUAAUAUGUGAUAUGUCCUUAAUUUGAGGACUGUAUAUUAAAUUGAUUUUUGAAACGGGGAUGGAAUAGGAGCUUGCUCUGUCCACCCUAUGUAUUGACCUGGCAUCCGACGAAGUGGGUAUUCACCCACAAAAGUUCAUGUUCCAAUAC